GAUGAAGAACGCAGCGAAAUGCGAUAAGUAAUGUGAAUUGCAGAAUUCAGUGAAUCAUCGAAUCUUUGAACGCACAUUGCGCCCGCCAGUACUCUGGCGGGCAUGCCUGUUCGAGCGUCAUUACAACCCUCAGGCCCCCGGGCCUGGCGUUGGGGAUCGGCGGAAGCCCCCUGCGGGCACAACGCCGUCCCCCAAAUACAGUGGCGGUCCCGCCGCAGCUUCCAUUGCGUAGUAGCUAACACCUCGCGACUGGAGAGCGGCGCGGCCACGCCGUAAAACACCCAACUUCUGAAUGUUGACCUCGAAUCAGGUAGGAAUACCCGCUGAACUUAAGCAUAUCAAUAAGCGGAGGA
rnacentral:misc_RNA from 1 species